rnacentral:SRP_RNA from 1 species
AAACCUGGUCAGGAUGGGAAACAGUCUUGGAGGUAGCAGGUCUCAGGGGUUCGUUUUCGGUGCAGCAG